UACGGAGGGUGCGAGCGUUGUCCGGAAUCACUGGGCGUAAAGGGCGCGUAGGCGGCCUGGUAAGUAGGGGGUGAAAUCCUGCGGCUUAACCGCAGGGCUGCCUUCUAAACUGUCAGGCUCGAGCACGGUAGAGGCAGAUGGAAUUCCCGGUGUAGCGGUGGAAUGCGUAGAGAUCGGGAAGAACAUCAGUGGCGAAGGCGGCUCACUGGCCCGAUACUGACGCUGAGGCACGAAAGCGUGGGGAGCAAACAGG
rnacentral:rRNA from 1 species